rnacentral:siRNA from 1 species
AUGAUUAACAGGGACAGU